AAUGAACGUUGGCGGCGUGGAUUAGGCAUGCAAGUCGAGCGAGAACCGACCUUUCGGGGUUGGGGAAAGCGGCAAACGGGGUAGUAAAGUGUCGGUACGUGCCCUCAGGUCGGGGAUAGCCAGGGGAAACCCUGAUUAAUACCCGAUGAUCUCGAGAGAGCAAAGGUCCGCUGCCGGAAGAGCGGCCGACAUGGUAUCAGGUAGUUGGUGAGGUAACGGCUCACCAAGCCUUAGACGCCUAGGGGGCGUGAGAGCGCGACCCCCACCACUGGGACUGAGAUACUGCCCAGACACCUACGGGUGGCUG
rnacentral:rRNA from 1 species